AUGUCCAACUGCCUCUUAAAGCAGUUCUCUUGCGAGGUGAAUGCCGCCCUCCCGAGGCUUGAGGCCAUGGGGCUCCUCAAGUGGUCGCAGUACGCCAUCACCUUCGAUUCCAAGGUCCACCUCAGAUGCUCGGCCACCGCCGGUGCGCUCCCCAUGCUGUGCACUCCCACCAUCAGCAACGUCACUGUCACCCAAACCCUCAUCGAUGGUGGCACGAGCCUCAACGUGAUCUCCAUAGCAACCUUCGAGAUGCUCCAAGUGCCCUACAAAAAACUGAUGCUCACCAGGCCCUUCUCCGGGGUGACGGACGAGUCCACCAUUCCACUGGGACAAGUGCCCCUCUCUGUCUCCUUUCAGCGCUUGCAACAACUACGACACUAA
rnacentral:rRNA from 1 species